rnacentral:rRNA from 1 species
CCUACGGGAGGCAGCAGUGAGGAAUAUUGGUCAAUGGACGAGAGUCUGAACCAGCCAAGUAGCGUGAAGGAUGACUGCUCUAUGGGUUGUACACUUCUUUUAUAAAGGAAUAAAAUGAGGCACGUGUGCCUUUUUGCAUGUACUUUAUGAAUAAGGAUCGGCUAACUCCGUGCCAGCAGCCGCGGUAAUACGGAGGAUCCGAGCGUUAUCCGGAUUUAUUGGGUUUAAAGGGAGCGUAGAUGGGUUGUUAAGUCAGUUGUGAAAGUUUGCGGCUCAACCGUAAAAGUGCAAUUGAUACUGGCAGUCUUGAGUACACUUGAGGUAGGCGGAAUGCGUGGUGUAGCGGUGAAAUGCUUAGAUAUCACGAAGAACCCCGAUUGCGAAGGCAGCUUACUAACCUGUGACUGACAUUGAUGCUCGAAAGUGUGGGUAUCAAACAGGAUUAGAUACCCCAGUAGUC